UGGGGAAUUUUGGACAAUGGGCGAAAGCCUGAUCCAGCAAUGCCGCGUGUGUGAAGAAGGCCUUCGGGUUGUAAAGCACUUUUGUCCGGAAAGAAAUCCUUGGCUCUAAUACAGUCGGGGGAUGACGGUACCGGAAGAAUAAGCACCGGCUAACUACGUGCCAGCAGCCGCGGUAAUACGUAGGGUGCAAGCGUUAAUCGGAAUUACUGGGCGUAAAGCGUGCGCAGGCGGUUUGCUAAGACCGAUGUGAAAUCCCCGGGCUCAACCUGGGAACUGCAUUGGUGACUGGCAGGCUAGAGUAUGGCAGAGGGGGGUAGAAUUCCACGUGUAGCAGUGAAAUGCGUAGAGAUGUGGAGGAAUACCGAUGGCGAAGGCAGCCCCCUGGGCCAAUACUGACGCUCAUGCACGAAAGCGUGGGGAGCAAAACAGGAUUAGAUACCCUGGUAGUCCACGCCCUAAACGAUGUCAACUAGUUGUGGGAUUCAUUCCUUAGUAACGUAGCUAACGCGUGAAGUUGACCGCCUGGGGAGUACGGUCGC
rnacentral:rRNA from 1 species